rnacentral:lncRNA from 1 species
GUUUUUAUAUACGUGGUUUUAUACAUUGCAUCUUAUUAAUACUAACCAGUCAUUGAACAUUUUGAAAUAUUUGUUUUUCAUAUUGAUUCAAUUUUUUAAAUUGACAAACAGGAUUGUCAAAUGUUAAAAUUGUUUCACUUAUGCAUUCACUAAUAGCGUAUAUAUUUGUUUAAGUAUGCCGAGAGGAAAAGGACAGAGGGUACUGCCAAACCGUACUGCACGCAGGCAGGACAAUCAGGUACAGCUACCUGUCAACAGAAGGCGUCGCGCAAGAGAGCUGAUAUCAUUGGACAAAAUGAAGCCAAUCCACAGUAGUUGCCAAUACUGCCUCCACAACAGCCAAUUUUGCCUCCACAACAGCCAAUUUUGCAUCCAUAGCAGACAAUUUUGCCUCCACAGCAGCCAAUUUUGCCUCCACAACAGCAAUUAAUGCCUCCACAAUUGCAAUUAAUGCCUCCACAACAGCCACUAAUGCCACAAUACUUGCCUCAACAGCCAAUUCUACCACCACAACAGAUUGGAGCUUCAAGCAUCCCUCAACAGCCCACUGAACAACAAGUCCCGGGUCAGGGAGGUGUACAACUAGGGCAGUCAGCAGCUCGACAUACUGUAGAAAAUGGUGAGAAUUUAGUUAUACCUACUAGUAAUGAUGUUGAUGUGUUUGUACCACAAAAAAUUAUAAAUCAAAUUUGGAAUUUAGAUUAUGUUGAUUUGGCCCAAUUACUGUACAAAAAUUUUGUUUCAAAUAUUGAUCAACCGAAAAAAAGUGCUAGGUUUUGAUGAAGAUGGGGACAUUUUAAUUGAAAGAAACAAGUUUUCGAAAGUCAAAGCAUUAUCUAGCAUUGGGGAGUGGACUGAAGGUUUUAUAAAUUACAUGAAAAUAUUAUUACAAAGAUUUCCGGCUUUGGCAAAUGAAUUGAUUAGCUACAUGACGAUUAUUAGGGGGGGCUAGUGUACCUUUUGAGAAUGUUUAUAAAUAUGACAUGCAAUUUCGACUUAGAAAAGCUAGAGAUCAUACGCGUGCUUGGGACGUCAUUGAUGGGCAGCUAUGGCUUCAGUUUAUAGCAGUAGGCAUAAAUCGUGUUCAACAGACACCUACUUAUACAUCUUAAACAGUCAACAACCCUUGCUACGAUUAUAAUUUUAAGGGCGUUUGUACUCGCAUGAAUUGUGUAUACCUCCAUUCAUGUAUAAGAUGUAGCCAGUUCCAUCCUUUGA